rnacentral:rRNA from 2 species
UGCAAGUCGAACGCGUUGGCCCAACUGAUUGACGAUGCUUGCAUCCGAUUGACGUUGGAUUUCCAACGAGUGGCGGACGGGUGAGUAACACGUAGGUAACCUGCCCAGAAGCGGGGGAUAACAUCUGGAAACAGGUGCUAAUACCGCAUAACAAUUCAAAUCGCAUGGUUUGAAUUUAAAAGAUGGCUCUGCUAUCACUUCUGGAUGGACCUGCGGCGCAUUAGCUUGUUGGUAGGGUAAUGGCCUACCAAGGCAGUGAUGCGUAGCCGAGUUGAGAGACUGAUCGGCCACAAUGGGACUGAGACACGGCCCAUACUCCUACGGGAGGCAGCAGUAGGGAAUCUUCCACAAUGGGCGCAAGCCUGAUGGAGCAACACCGCGUGAGUGAAGAAGGGUUUCGGCUCGUAAAGCUCUGUUGUUGAAGAAGAACGUGCAUGAGAGUAACUGUUCAUGCAGUGACGGUAUUCAACCAGAAAGUCACGGCUAACUACGUGCCAGCAGCCGCGGUAAUACGUAGGUGGCAAGCGUUAUCCGGAUUUAUUGGGCGUAAAGAGAGUGCAGGCGGUUUCUUAAGUCUGAUGUGAAAGCCUUCGGCUCAACCGAAGAAGUGCAUCGGAAACUGGGAGACUUGAGUACAGAAGAGGGCAGUGGAACUCCAUGUGUAGCGGUGGAAUGCGUAGAUAUAUGGAAGAACACCAGUGGCGAAGGCGGCUGCCUGGUCUGUAACUGACGCUGAGACUCGAAAGCAUGGGUAGCGAACAGGAUUAGAUACCCUGGUAGUCCAUGCCGUAAACGAUGAGUGCUAGGUGUUGG